rnacentral:rRNA from 1 species
UACGUAGGCGGCAAGCGUUGUCCGGAAUUAUUGGGCGUAAAGCGCGCGCAGGCGGUCCUUUAAGUCUGAUGUGAAAGCCCACGGCUCAACCGUGGAGGGUCAUUGGAAACUGGGGGACUUGAGUACAGAAGAGAAGAGUGGAAUUCCACGUGUAGCGGUGAAAUGCGUAGAGAUGUGGAGGAACACCAGUGGCGAAGGCGACUCUUUGGUCUGUAACUGACGCUGAGGCGCGAAAGCGUGGGGAGCAAACAGG